ACCUUCAAUGUUAAUCUCAGUGUAACAUUUCAAAAAUUAAGGAGACUGAAUAAAUCGUGCAGUCACGUUUAACACACAAGUAUAAUCAUUUGACAUUACAAGUAAUUCUCGUCAAAGAAAGAACAAGGAUGGUAUUAUCCGAGGUGGUCUUCUCAUCAUCUUCUAUGCCCAAGAGCUUCAAGGAAAUGUUAUAGUGGUGUAGCAAAACCU
rnacentral:lncRNA from 1 species